GCCUAUGUAGCUCAGUCGGUAGAGCACUUCCUUGGUAAGGAAGAGGUCGCCGGUUCGAAUCCGGUCGUAGGCU
rnacentral:tRNA from 1 species